UACAGAGGGUGCAAGCGUUAUUCGGAAUUAUUGGGCGUAAAGCGCGCGUAGGCGGCUUAGUAAGUCUGGUGUGAAAGCCCUCGACUCAAUCGAGGAAGUGCAUUGGAUACUGCUAGGCUAGAGUGCAGGAGAGGAGAACGGAAUUCCUGGUGUAGAGGUGAAAUUCGUAGAUAUCAGGAGGAACAACGGUGGCGAAGGCGGUUCUCUGGACUGUAACUGACGCUUAGGUGCGAAAGCGUGGGGAGCAAACAGG
rnacentral:rRNA from 1 species